rnacentral:rRNA from 1 species
UACGUAGGGGGCAAGCGUUGUCCGGAUUUAUUGGGCGUAAAGAGCUCGUAGGCGGUUUGUUGCGUCGGCUGUGAAAUCCCGAGGCUCAACCUCGGGUCUGCAGUCGAUACGAGCAAACUAGAGUGUUGCAGGGGAGACUGGAAUUCCUGGUGUAGCGGUGAAAUGCGCAGAUAUCAGGAGGAACACCGGUGGCGAAGGCGGGUCUCUGGGCCGUAACUGACGCUGAGGAGCGAAAGCGUGGGGAGCGAACAGG